CUCUCUGCAUCUCCCCCUCAUCUCUCCUCUCUUAUUUUUCUUCAUGCUCGGCUCCAUGAUUGUUGCUUAUUAGUUGUUGAGCUCCUGCUUCAUGCUCCUUUACUUAAGCUCCAUCUCUUUCAGCCGCCCCCUCUCCUUGUUCUCUGUCUCUUAUCCCUCAAAGAUUUGAGUCAAAUCUGUCUUAUUCUCUUCCAUGCUCUUUAUCUCUGUCUCUCAUCUCUUAGAUCUGCAUGUUCUUGGCCCAAAUGUUGUGGCGCUUGAUAGUUUUAGUAGGUUCAUUUCUCAGAUCAUGCUUUUGUUCAAUUCUUUCCCUG
rnacentral:lncRNA from 1 species